GUCCGAUAUUGUUGUGUGGUGCUGAGGUUUUGUAAGUUGUUUUUUAUUUUUUUAAACUUAACACCAAUAUACUCUGGUUUACCGGUUUGUUAGGCUUUACCGGUUUCAGUGAAAAAUGAAGAAAUUAGUCUCGAACGUGAUUGACAACUACAUGCAACUUAGUUGAUAAGACGUUUCUCUAUAUAUUUCAGUAGAUACAAUCAUACAACAAAAAUAAUACAUGAAGUCAAUUUCAAUUAAGACAAUUAGGUAGCUUGACAUAUUAAAAUACUGGUAGUAAUUUAUAAAUUAAUUCCUAUUUCAAAUUUGAAUAAUUUCAAGUAAUUCCAAAUGAGACGAUUCUAUUCAUCUAUGAAGACACAUUUCAUCGAACAGGUACAGUACUCCUCCAUCACCUCCCCAGCUUACCUCCAAAAAAUGCAUGGCCUCAACUCCUCUCUCCGCCUCCUUACAUCCAAAUUCUUCUCCACGCAGCCCAAUCUCCAUUCCGCCGGUCCCACGGCGUGUCUCUUAAAAACCCGAUCCAUAAUCCGGUUCAGCGGGCCCGAAACCAUCAAGUUCCUCCAAGGUCUGCUCACCAACGACGUCCGGAGCUUGGACGAUCCGCCAACUGCGGCGGCGCCGGUGUACGCCGCGAUGCUGACUCCUCAAGGGAGGUUUCUCUACGAUUUUUUCUUGUACGGACCGCCCCGACCCGACCCGGGUGAGCUGGAGCUUUAUGCGGAUGUGGAUGGAUCUGUCGUCGACGAGCUCUUGGCUGCCUUGAAAAAAUAUCGUUUGAGGUCCAAGGUUGAUAUUGAGAAUGUCGGGGAGGACUUUUCCUGCUGGCAACGGUUUGGUCGAGGCCUUGAACUUGAUUCUGUUGGCUGGGGUGGUACAGUUGGUCAGUCAGAUGUAUCCUCUUCACAAGGAAAUAACAUUGGUUGGAAUUGGCAUAACGAUCCCCGACUGACUUGUCUAGGAUAUAGGGGCAUCUUUCCGUCUAAUGCAACACCGCCUCUAGUCGAGGAGGACAAGGAAACGGAUGAACGAAACUUUCUUCUUUGGAGAUUAGAGAAGGGAGUUGCAGAAGGCUCUUCUGAGAUUCCAAAGGGUGAGGCAAUACCCCUCGAGUACAAUCUUGUUGGUCUAAAUGCUAUAAGCUUUGACAAAGGAUGUUAUGUUGGCCAAGAACUUGUUGCUCGUACACAUCACCGUGGAGUAAUCCGAAAACGUUUGAUUCCUGUUCGAUUCUUGAGUGGUAGCGGAAAAGAGGUGGAGCAACAAGUAUCUCCAGGUUCGGAAGUGAUAGGCAAUGCUUCUAAAAAGAAAGCCGGGACAGUCAUGACUGCCCUUGGGUCUCGUGGUUUGGCACUCGUGCGCUUGGAGGAAGCUUUCAAAGAGGCGGGCGCCUUGACCAUCAACGGCCGGGAAGAUAUCAAAGUCGAGACUAUUAGGCCAAAAUGGUGGCCGCCGGAGUGGUUUCUUCAUCAGCAACAGAAGACGUAGGAUUUGUAUGCGACUUCGAGCAGGGAACUUUUUUGCAAUAUGAAUCAGAAGCUCAAGAUCAUCAGGAAGUCGUACAAGCAUCCCGGAAAGGCGAAUUACGUUGUCGUAUUUGCACAAGUCCUCCAUGACUAGCUUCUCUUUGGAUGCAGCUAACAUAAAAUGUAGUUGAGAUAUCACUGCAGGAACCCCUAUUGAAAUGAUGGAGUUGUUAAGGUAUUCUUCCAUGCUUGGUGUAUAUCCUCUCUGGUACCACUUUGCCUCUUGUAAAUAUGCUUCAACCAAAUCCACCCACUGCAGUCAACAACAAUCCAGGUGUAAAUAAUAUAAUCAGUGAUGGAUCCAGGAAAUGGAAUUCGUACGGUCACAUUGGAAUCGUCUAAUUUUACCGGUCUGUGUAGAGAUGUGAUAUCAUCUUCUUUAGAAAUAUCACGUGCUAAUUCGGAAACAAAGUUGUGGAUUACGGAAUAAAACAAUUGCAAGUAAUCGGGAAGCCGGUUGAUUGAUUCAA